rnacentral:rRNA from 1 species
AGUCGAGGGGCAGCGCGGGAUAGCAAUAUCCUGGCGGCGACCGGCGGAAGGGUGCGUAACGCGUGAGCGACAUGCCCGUUGCCCGGGGACAACCGGUGGAAACGCCGACUAAUCCCCGAUGGGAUAUUGUGCCGCAUGGCACGAUAUUGAAAGUUACGGCGGCGACGGAUUGGCUCGCGUCCGAUUAGCUUGUUGGCGGGGUAACGGCCCACCAAGGCUACGAUCGGUAGGGGUUCUGAGAGGAAGGCCCCCCACAAUGGGACUGAGACACGGCCCAUACUCCUACGGGAGGCAGCAGUGAGGAAUAUUGGUCGAUGGGCGGAAGCCUGAACCAGCCAUGCCGCGUGCGGGAAGGAGGCCCUAUGGGCUGUGAACCGCUUUUGCCUGGGGGCAAUAAGGGCGUCGCGCACGCCCGAUGAGAGUACCAGGCGAAUAAGCAUCGGCUAACUCCGUGCCAGCAGCCGCGGUAAUACGGGGGAUGCGAGCGUUAUCCGGAUUCAUUGGG